GGCCAUGGCAAAAGUGCCGGGAGGCGCUUCUUCUCUCGCCAACGAAAGUAGGAUUACGCUUGAUUUUCACUCUCUGUGUUUUCGAUUACAUUUAAUAAUCCAUUAAUAUUAGGGGUUGCUUGACGACAUUUCUCGUAUCCGGUCAAACGAAAAAAAUAUGUGACCAGCAAGAAAAUACGUAGAGAUUUUCCUUAUUCAUGGACAUGCAUGAAUGCCAUGAGUCUGAGGCUAACGAGGAAGAGACGCGGCUGGAAUAAGCACGAGGAGCGGUCCUUUGUGCGUGCAAAAUUGAACAACAAGACGAGAAACGUUAGUCUUACUGCAAAAUGAAUGUUUCAUUUAU